UACGUAGGGGCCCAGCGUUGUCCGGAUUCAUUGGGCGUAAAGCGCGCGCAGGCGGCCCGGUGUGCCGCCCGUGAAAUCCCCCGGCUCAACCGGGGGGGGUCGGGCGAGACUGUCGGGCUGGAGGCGGGUAGGGGGCAGCGGAAUUCCCGGUGUAGUGGUGGAAUGCGUAGAUAUCGGGAGGAACACCUGUGGCGAAAGCGGCUCACUGGACCACAACUGACGCUGAGGCGCGAAAGCUAGGGGAGCAAACAGG
rnacentral:rRNA from 1 species